AAGCGCUCCCUCGGCGCUGCAACCAUCUUGACUUGGAAUCAACCACUGCACGGCCGCCUUGGAGUCCUUGCCUGGGGAAACCUCUCACGGCUGCCUCCAUAGAGUUAGGCAUACCCUGCCCCGUGUGGGACGGAGUUUUCGAUGAUUUCGUAUGUGCAGAUCCACGCUUCUGCCUGCAAUAAUAGAGGAUGCCUCCUCGCUACCCCUGCUGCCGUGGUUCUACCCAGCCUCUGCGGACGCCUCAGCCAGCCUGGAUACUGCCUUCAAGGCUGAUGGACACUCUCUGAACCUCUUGCCAUGAUGCCAAGACUUUGAAUGGAUCACCUUGUCCCUUUAAGGUUCACAGGGACCCUGUCUCCAUGGACAGAGGGUUUAAGUUGUCCAGAAGCUGCUCACCAGAUGGUGAAAAUGAAAUGAAUAAAUGGAAGAAGCUGUAAGCAAUGAAGGCAAACCAAACAAAAGGUCUUUCCAGGACAGUGUUUUUUGAAAUUUUAACUCAACCCAUAGUAACAAAUGAGUUUUUAUCAUAACUUAGUAUACUAAUGCAUAUAGAUAAAGUUCAAGAAAUGAGAGUUUCCCUACAAUGUUUUCUAUUUUUUCCUCUUCCUCCCCCCCUUCCCUCCCUUCUCCUUCCUUCCUUUUUUUCUUCCUCCCCUCCUUCCCUCCCUUCUCCUUCCUUCCUUUUUUCCUUCCUCCCCUCCUUUCAGUUUGGGGUCCAGCAAACUGAUUUCACAGAUCAUCAUUCAUGGGUUGUGACCCAGAGUUUUAAAAAUCCUGCAGUAGAUCAUGGGCUAUGCUGAACUUAUUGUUUGACUAACCAAUAGAUAGAAGGAUCUAUCCAGGCAUUCGAUUGAAUCUCGCCUUUCUGAAUCACCUGCACAAGUUCAUGUCACCAUGGGAUUCCCUUAGUUAGAACCUGAAAUAAGAUUGACAGAAAGGCAUUUGAGAGACCAGCAUGCUUAUAAGGAGCAACCUCAGAACCCUAAGUGGUUCCAUGGUGGCUUCAGGCCUUUCAAGGAUCCUCCCUCCAAAGUCAUACAGUCAGGGCAAGGUCACUGAGGAAGUGACCCAGUGUCACUGUAUCCACUCACUGUUGGCUUUUGUGGCCUUAAUUCUGUUGUGAUCUUAUCAGCCUCUUGCAUAUUCCAGUUUGUGGAGGUUUUUUCAGCCUUGGGAAGCUUUAUGGCAUCUCAGAAAUCCUGACUUCUCUAGAACUAGAAUUUCUUUAGUUCUGGGGAAUUGCAUGCCAUGCCAUGAGAAGUGACAGCCUGCAGACUCAGCUUGCCCUAGAAAGAGUUGGGCACUGCCAGAUAUUCACUCCAAAUCCAUCUGGCUCCAGGGCUUCAUUCCCAGUAGCCCAGCUCAUGUCUCCAUCCUUGGGGCUUUUGGCACUAGUCUUUCCCACCUGCUUCCAUAUCCUAGAGCCCCAGGUUGCCAGACUGCUGGCCCACACACAGUGUGUGCUGGCAUGGUAAUGCAGAGCCUGGGGGCUGGACAAAGGAAGGUGUAGACUCCCACCUGCACCUCCAAGCACUGGCAGCUCAGAGCUCUCCCAGGCUCCUAGGUAUUUGCUGGGCUUCUGUCCAAACCCCAGCAGACAGUGAUGACUUCUCUCCAAGCCCCAACCCCAACCAUUGAGACCAAUGGAAUAAACUAGAGGCUUGGAGUCCUUUCCCAUUUGUGGCUGUUUAGGAUUAUGGGUUUUGCAAGGACCAUGAUCACUCUUGCAGGAGACAAGAGAACAACAUCCCAUUACCUUUGGGGAAUUCCUGUUUUGCUUCCUAGGGAAGGGUGUCUUGUGGAAGAGCCUAGUGAUAAAGAUAAGUAGAGAGGCUCUGUGGCAAGAGAUUAAGCACCUCAGGAACAGGUGAGAGUAGAGUUAGUGUUACAUUGCUACUCAAAAGGUCAGUAGGGAAAAACUACUGACAAAAGAAGCCCUCCCUCUAGGAGGAAAGUCUCCAGGGAGCAUGACUGGGCAAUGAGCUCCUUUUCUUCAUACCAAUAAGCAAAAGCUCUGCAAGCCUCAUCCUGGGCACGCCUGCUUGUUUCUCCAGAACAGGAAGGACAUUCCGUAAGCAGCCCAGGAAUGUGUUAAACAUCUCUCCCCUGGGGCCCCAACUCCAGAAAGAUGUGGCUGUUGACAGCUCAUCUCCUUUGUCUUUGGCCUCUGGCCUGGGACAAACACUACAAAGCAUGGCUUCCCCUUUCUGUUGCAUUUGCCUCAUUGUUCUGUGCCAUUAAAAAUGUUGCCAUUGUUAA